CACUGCUCUGACGGAUGCUUUUAUUAGACCAAACCGCUGAGGACUUGAGGGUUCGCUCUCCUGUCUGACUCGUGUAAUGGUGACUCUGGAUAACCAAUUCUGACAAGCGCACGUACUUCUCUUCUGAGCGAGACGGCGCUGCCACUUUCGAGUGUCUGCCUUAUCAGCUAUCAACCGUUCGUUAUGCGCGACCGAUGGCUUUGACGGGUAACGGGGAAUCAGGGUUCGAUUCCGGAGAGGCAGCCUGAGAGACGGCUACCACGUCCAAGGACGGCAGCAGGCACGCAAAUUACCCAAUCCCAGCAAAUGGGGGAGGUAGUGACGAAAUCUAACGAUGCGGGCGCCCUUUCUGGGGCCCCGCAAUCGGAAUGGGCACUUUCUAAACAACCUGUUGAGAACCUACUGAAGGGCAAGUCUGGUGCCAGCAGCCGCGGUAAUUCCAGCUUCAGCAGCAUCUAUUAAAGUUGCUGCGGUUAAAAGGCUCGCAGUUGAAUGUCUGUAUCGAGCGCAGGUCAGGUGGACGUUGGGGCGUGGAAGUACGGGCAGUUGGAUGUCCGUGGGGCCUUCGUGCUCUACGGCUCCUUCGGCUUUUCCACACACCCCCGUCCGUGACAAGCCUCCUCGCUCGGGUACAUAACGGGAAUUGGUCAAACGGAGUGUGGUUGGAGGUUGCGGUGCGUGGCUUCUGUUGCGUGCUUCUUCUUUCGGCUGCGUUAAGCUCCAUCGGUUUCACGGUCACCUUGAGUAAAUCAGAGUGCUCAAAGCAGUCGUAAGGGCCUUGCGCCCUGUGAACAGUCUUGACGGACUGACUUGGUUUUGCAUGGCAUGUCGGAAGACGACGUCGUGUGCUGGCUCAGAGAAUAAAUCAGUGGUGCAAGCCAGCCACGACGUAAUGAUUAAAAGGGACGGUCGAGGGCAUUGGUAUUGCGAGGCGAGAGGUGAAAUUCUGUGACCCCCGCAAGACCUCCUGAAGCGAAAGCGUCUGCCAAGGACGUUUU
rnacentral:rRNA from 1 species